UCUUCAGUAUAAAUAUGUCCCAUGCAAUAUUUGGGACAUACUUAUACUAAAA
rnacentral:pre_miRNA from 1 species